rnacentral:rRNA from 1 species
CCACAUCAUGAAAGCCGCUUGUACCCGAAGUCGCUGUGCCAACUCGCAAGAGAGGCAGGUGCCGAAGGUAUGGUGGUGAUUGGGAUG